UACGGAGGGGGCCAGCGUUGUUCGGAAUCAUUGGGCGUAAAGGGCGCGUAGGCGGCCGAUCAAGUCGGGGGUGAAAUCCCUCGGCUCAACUGAGGAAUUGCCUCCGAUACUGUUCGGCUUGAGUCCUGGAGAGGGUAGUGGAAUUCCCAGUGUAGCGGUGAAAUGCGUAGAGACUGGGAAGAACACCAGUGGCGAAGGCGGCUACCUGGACAGGUACUGACGCUGAAGCGCGAAAGCUAGGGGAGCAAACAGG
rnacentral:rRNA from 1 species